GGCAUCACUUAGUGGUUUGAGUGCUGGACUAUGACUCUGGAGACCAAAGUUCGAAUCCCUGCUCGGCCA